CCGUGCUAAGCGGGGAGGUAGCCGGUGCCCUAUACUCGCAAUCCGCUCUAGCGAGGCUCGAAUCCCCUCUCGAGGUUAUGUUGCUGUAAGGUCUGCCUUAAGUAAGUGGUGUUGACGUUUGGGUCCUGCGCAAACGGGACGCCGUGAACCUUGGUCAGGUCCGGAGGAAAGCAGCAAUAGCCGGGUCUUCUCGUGUGCCGAGGAGUGGCCUGAAGCCGAGCUAACUGCUUGAGUAAUCCUUUAUGGUAGCGUUUAUCGACGGAGGGUGCACGG
rnacentral:SRP_RNA from 1 species